GGACAUGGUUCCAUAACUUUCCUUGACAUAUUCCCCACUUGACUGGCAAAUCACCAAGAUACUCCAUUCGCCGGAGAUGAAGGAUCGCCGCCGGAUCAGAACCCUAGAUCCCUCUUUGCUCUUUUGUGUCUCUCAGCGGCAUUCUAUCGAACACUUACCGCACAGCCGAAACCAUCCCCACCUCCAUACACAUUGUCUCACCACCACAUACCAUGCUUCUUCACCCUUCUCUACACUUCACCAUAAGCAUUCUUCAUCACCUUCAGUUCAAACCCUGCAUCAACCCCACAAUACUUCACACUCAUCACAUAGAGCUACCUCAAGCACAACACCCAUAGCAAUCCACUGAAACCCAUACCAUCACACCACACACAUAAGCAGCACAGCUUCUCCUUCACUCCUACAUCUCCAUCACUAGCU
rnacentral:misc_RNA from 1 species